GUAGUGUUCAGCUAUGCCUGGCCACGCCCGAACGACCAGUGUAGAAGUUGGAACCAUCCUGAUUUUAUUUCUUGAACCAGAAGAGUACAUUGCAAGCUACCAACGUUUCUCAGAUAAAGAAUAUGACUUCACCGAUUUGGAAUACCACGGAUUAAACUGCAUUUGUUUUUUUGAUACUGAUGACUUUCUUCUGGCUGUUGAUUGGCUCAUUGACACUGGGAUGUCAAUCCUAUUACUGUUGCAUCAACAAUAAGUUAUUGCUGUGGCAUGUACUCGAAAUGACGAGGGGAAGGCGAGGUGAAAAUGGUGCUGAUUUUGAAAAGAAGGAAAUGCUGGAUUGUUGUAGUCUCCAAAUGAAUUUUUUUGGUCCGAGAAAAGGUAGAGGUAUAACUGCCACACACGAUAUAAAAUCAGGAACAUUUCUGCUGCGGUACUCUGGCGAACUCAUUACAAGUGAUGAGGGUGACCGUAGAGGGCUCCAGUACAAAAAAAGGCAACUGGGCAACUAUCUAUAUUUUUUUUCCCACC